CAUCCAUUACUGCUCGCUAGGGCAGCUGUGACGAGCUCUCGUAGUCAACCUUCCGCUUUGAGGUGUACCCCGCUCUCUGCGAUGAUUCCUUUUAGAGAGAGUUGCCCUCAGAUGAACGCUGCGCGUGCUUACCAUGCAGUCGACGUGAGCAGAGCUGCUCUGUGAUCAGUGGCGACGGUGAGUACACGUGAGCAUCUGCCCUGACUCUGGGAUAGCGCUGAAACGGCGUCUAAUACCGGAUACGAGCUGCGACCGCAUGGUCAGUAGCUGGAAAGAAUUUCGGUCAGGGAUGAGCUCGCGGCCUAUCAGCUUGUUGGUGAGGUAAUGGCUCACCAAGGCGUCGACGGGUAGCCGGCCUGAGAGGGUGACCGGCCACACUGGGACUGAGACACGGCCCAGACUCCUACGGGAGGCAGCAGUGGGGAAUAUUGCAUYAUAGKGGGCGCAAGCCCUKAUGCAGCAACSCCGCGUGAKGGAUGACGGCCUUYGGGUUKUAAACCUCUUUUASCMGGGAAGAAGCGAAAGUGACGGUACCUGCCAGAAAAAGCGYCGGCUAACUACGUGCCAGCAGCCGCGGUAAUACGUAGGGCGCAAGCGUUAUCCGGAAUUAUUGGGCGUAAAGAGCUCGUAKGCGGUYUGUCGCGUCUGCUGUGAAAACCCGAGGCUUCAACCUCGGGCCUGCMSUGGGUACGGGCAGACUAGAGUGCGGUAGGGGAGAUUGGAAUUCCUGGUGUAGCGGUGGAAUGCGCAGAUAUCAKGAGGAACACCGAUGGCGAAGGCAGAUCUCUGGGCCGUAACUGACGCUGAGGAGCGAAAGGGUGGGGAGCAAACARGCUUAGAUACCCUGGUAGUCCACCCCGUAAACGUUGGGAACUAGUUGUGGGGYCCAUUCCACGGAUUCCGUGACGCAGCUAACGCAUUAWGUUCCCCGCCUGGGGAGUACCGGCCGCAAGGCUAUCACUCAGAGGAUUUGACGGGGACCCGCACAAUCGGCGGAGCAUGCGGAUUAAUUCGAUGCAACGCGAAGAACCUUACCUAGGCUUGACAUAUAGAGGAAACGUCUGGCAACAGUCGCCCCGCAAGGUCUCUAUACAAGUGGUGCAUGGUUUGUCGUCAGCUCGUGUCGCGAGAUGUUGGGUUAAGUCCCGCCAACGAGCGCAACUCUCGUUCUAUGUUGCCAGCACGCAAUGAUGGCAACUCUUGUGAUACUGCCCCGGGUCAACUACGGACGAAUGUAGUUGAUGACGUCCAAUUCAUCAUGGCCCCUUUAUGAUUUGGGGCCUACACACAUGCUUACAUGGGCCCGCUACCAAAGGCCUGCUCCAUCACCGUUGAAGGUUGGAAGCGAAAUCCCAAAAAACGCGUGUCCCUAGCUUAAGGAUAUGAGAAGUUCUGAUCUUCAGACCGCCAAGGAACGUCUGCACCCACUCUAGAAUAUCUGCUGAAUUCAGACCCACUGCUGUACGAGUGAUGAU
rnacentral:rRNA from 1 species